rnacentral:rRNA from 1 species
UAACUGAAGAGUUUGAUCAUGGCUCAGAUUGAACGCUGGCGGCAGGCUUAACACAUGCAAGUCGAGCGGGGGAAGGUAGCUUGCUACCGGACCUAGCGGCGGACGGGUGAGUAAUGCUUAGGAAUCUGCCUAUUAGUGGGGGACAACAUCUCGAAAGGGAUGCUAAUACCGCAUACGUCCUACGGGAGAAAGCAGGGGAUCUUCGGACCUUGCGC